GAGCAGUCAAAGCACAUUUGGCAUCAUUAAACUCGACAAAGCAAAGGACCUGAGUCCUAUCCCCACUACGUCUCGGCUCCUUGUGGACAACUCUAAUUUCCUUGAAUCCAAUAAAAGGACGGAACAAAUGUGAUGCUUCUCUUCUUGUGCAAUCGUGUGGGAGACCAUCAACAAAUAGCAUAUUGGAUUCAUCUGAUGGCAACCCCACAGAUUUUC
rnacentral:misc_RNA from 1 species